UGAGGGAUAUUGGUCAAUGGGCGCAAGCCUGAACCAGCGACGCCGCGUGGGUGAAGAAGGUCUUCGGAUCGUAAAGCCCUUUUCCCACUGAAGAGGAAGGACGGUAGGUGGGGAAGAAGUCUCGGCUAACUACGUACCAGCAGCCGCGGUAAAACGUAGGAGGCGAGCGUUAUCCGGAUUUACUGGGCGUAAAGCGCGUGCAGGCGGAUUGGAGAGUUGGAUGUGAAAGCUCCCGGCUUAACUGGGAGAGGUCGUUCAAUACUUCCAGUCUUGAGUGCAGUAGAGGGAAGUGGAAUUCCGGGUGUAGUGGUGAAAUGCGUAGAUAUCCGGAGGAACACCAGUGGCGAAAGCGGCUUCCUGGACUGUAACUGACGCUCAGACGCGAAAGCUAGGGUAGCAAACG
rnacentral:rRNA from 1 species